GCCCCGUAUAUUUUCGCAACCCGUCGUCUUCCCCAAUCCCCCGACCUCCGUUGCCGCGCCCCCUUCCCGCGCUAUUUUUUUUUGCGCGCUCCUCUCCGCUGAUUCCGGCGGCGGCGGCCCUCCUCUCCCGACAGCGCCCUCCUCCGCGAGGCCACCCGCCUCGUCGUAGUUAUCUCCCUCGCCCCCACCCCCACCCCACCGCCCCCGGCCCGAUCCAGCAGUCCCGACCCCUCCUCUCACCGUCAGCCUCCUGCACGCCAAUCCCACGCACCCAGAGAGCUAGCCGCGACUAAUAAACACCAGCAGCUAGCUAAUAGCCAUGCCACGGCCGGAGCCCGCGCGGUGCUCAUCGUCCUUGGUGCGGCCGCCGUCGUGCUCCAGCUGGCCGUGGUGGCGGAGGUGUGCAAGACACCUGCAAGCGCGCCAUCUAUUUCAGGAAACGGCUUCCUCGUCUGCUCCACCAUAAGCACGACGGCGUAGGACCUGCAGAACUGCGACGAGGAGGAGGCGGCGCCAAGAGCAAGAAGAGUCUUCUUGGGAGCAGGUUGUGGCCGGGAGGGGUGGGGGUGCCUUCUCUCCUGGCCACGACGGAUGAGGGAUUCGCUGCUGCAGGCGUAGAGGACGACGACGAGUACCUGGCGCGGGAGGCCGGGUGGGGGGUGCUGCAGAUGGGUGGGUCAAGGCCUUCCACGUCCCCGUCGCGCUCUUCAACGAUUUCUUCUUGGACUUCUUCAAAAUUAGGCCGAGGUGCUGUCCGCGCUUAUCUACAAAGUGAGGAACUCGCUGCCUGACAGCUUGCAGUGACGAUGGCCCGGGGUCCGGCGGCGUGACGGUGCUGGGAAAUAAAAAGCCGGCGACAGGAGGGUUCCAACGCUGCUUAGCAAAAACACGGAUUUUAAAAUGGACCUAAUAUGAUGACGUGGCCCGAUUUGAAAUAUUGGGAGGUUAGCUUUUAGCAUUCUGCUGUGGGCUGAUAUGUUUUUGGAGGGGAAAUUUUUUAGCAUAGCCCCCAAUACCUUGUUUUGGGAAAGAAUUUUUUAGCGUCCUCUUGGAGUUGCUCUGAUCACGUAUGAUGAUUGGACAACGAUGGCUAAGAUUAGCCGCUGGCUGGUAUAUCUCGUACGGAGUAGGGAUAAGAAAAGAAAUGAAAUAAAAUGGAAUGGAACUGGCCACGUUGGCA